rnacentral:rRNA from 1 species
GCACCUCGAUGUCGGCUCAUCGCAUCCUGGGGCUGUAGUCGGUCCCAAGGGUUGGGCUGUUCGCCCAUUAAAGCGGUACGCGAGCUGGGUUCAGAACGUCGUGAGACAGUUCGGUCCCUAUCCGUCGUGGGCGUAGGAAAUUUGAGAGGAGCUGUCCUUAGUACGAGAGGACCGGGAUGGACAUACCUCUGGUGUACCAGUUGUCGUGCCAACGGCAUAGCUGGGUAGCUAUGUGUGGACGGGAUAAGUGCUGAAAGCAUCUAAGCAUGAAGCCCCCCUCAAGAUGAGAUUUCCCAACUUCGGUUAUAAGAUCCCUCAAAGAUGAUGAGGUUAAUAGGUUCGAGGUGGAAGCAUGGUGACAUGUGGAGCUGACGAAUACUAAUCGAUCGAAGACUUAAUCAA